rnacentral:lncRNA from 1 species
UGAAUGUUAGAUCAAAUCAGCCAGCGGCUCAAGGGCACUGGUGGACAGCGCUCGUGUGCGCUCAACGCACGGGACGAGCUGCCAGCAAGGUCGUUCCUCUCGAUCCAGAACAGCGGCGGGAUUUAGGAACGACACUCCCGAAGAGUUAAUUGACCGUGUUCCUAACUAUGGCAAUCGUUAGGAACAUCAUGGACGAGGCCGAAGACCGCGACGAGUGGACAUGGUAAGAUAAUUAAUUAAAAACAAGCUAGAUCGAAUGGGC